rnacentral:miRNA from 1 species
UGCUUUGAGGCAUUGUCCCUCA